rnacentral:pre_miRNA from 1 species
GAAAACCUGGAAACUCUCGUUGGAUCAAAAAAUAGACGUUCAAGAUUUGUCUACGUCAUCACGAGUAAAAAUUUUACUCGUAGAUUUACUCAUUUUUAAAAUUUUACUAGGAAAAUUUUUUUACUUAUGGUGCUGUGGGUAAAUCUCAAACGUUUAUUUUUUGAUCUAUCGGUAAUUUUCAUGUUUGC